rnacentral:rRNA from 1 species
UUUGAACAUAUUUUUGAAAAAGAUAAAGACCUGUUAAGUGAUUGUAACUCUAGUUUAAUCAAACAUGAUUUUUACACAAUCAAAAAAAAAACCUAAUUUCUAAUUGUUUCCUUUUGUAUAAUGAAAGAGGUAUAGAGCUUGUAGGGUACUCGCUUUAAACAAGACAUUUAAAAGUUUAAAUAGUGAGAAAGCAACAAAAAAUGUAUAUCGGCUACAACAAACUAGCGUUUGCCAAAUUUAAGCUUAACUUAUAAUAUAAUAACCUAUUAAAACGAAUGGGAGUCGCCUUGUGUACUGUAAUAACAGCCCUUAUAUUCUGCUGAAAAUAAUAACCAUAAAAAUUUAUUUUAUUGACCUUUAUAUUUGCGCGGUAUAAUCCUCUUUGAGAAAUCUGCAUGUAAGUAAAAUAAAAAGGGUUUCCGAAAGUUUCACAAAAACCUUUCCCUUUUAAUAAAGGGUAUACCCUGCUAAAGAAAAGAAGUAGCAUAAUUAAUAGCCACUUCAUUGGUGGAGUGUUUGAAUGGGUGCUCGAGAGAUUCUUAUAACCAACAUACCUACGUGUUAAAAAAAAUAUCAAAGGUGAAAAUACCUAUAAAGAGAAGAAAGGCGAUAAGACCCUAAAAGCUCUAUUUUUAGUUGUUGGGGCAACAAGAUAUCAAACUCAUCUUUUUCCUAAUUUCCUAUAUAAGUUACUUUAGGGAUAACAGCGUAAUAUCUAAUAACAAGAUCUCAUUAUUAUUGGAGAGUACGACCUCGAUGUUGAACUAAAGGGAAGCUAGAGUACAAACUAGCGUCUAUCGUCUGUUCGCCGAUACACCUUUACGUGAUUUGAGUUCAAACCGGCGGGAGCCAGGUUGGUUUCAACCUUCUUACACUUAAUAAUUCUGUAGUACGAAAGGAAACAGGUUUACCUACUAUUAAAGUUAUAUUUAAUGUUUUCUUGUCGAGAAAAAGAACUUCUAAUUCUGCAUAUAUAGUUUUUAAUAAAUAUUUUUCUUGUAUAAAAAAGCA